rnacentral:rRNA from 1 species
CACGUAGGGUGCGAGCGUUGUCCGGAAUUAUUGGGCGUAAAGAGCUCGUAGGCGGUGUGUCGCGUCGGCCGUGAAAACCUGCAGCUUAACUGUGGGCUUGCGGUCGAUACGGGCAUCACUGGAGUUCGGCGGGGGAGACUGGAAUUCCUGGUGUAGCGGUGAAAUGCGCAGAUAUCAGGAGGAACACCGGUGGCGAAGGCGGGUCUCUGGGCCGAUACUGACGCUGAGGCGCGAAAGCGUGGGGAGCAAACAGG